UGGGGAAUAUUGGACAAUGGGCGAAAGCCUGAUCCAGCCAUGCCGCGUGUGUGAAGAAGGUCUUCGGAUUGUAAAGCACUUUAAGUUGGGAGGAAGGGCAGUAAGCGAAUACCUUGCUGUUUUGACGUUACCGACAGAAUAAGCACCGGCUAACUCUGUGCCAGCAGCCGCGGUAAUACAGAGGGUGCAAGCGUUAAUCGGAAUUACUGGGCGUAAAGCGCGCGUAGGUGGUUCGUUAAGUUGAAUGUGAAAGCCCCGGGCUCAACCUGGGAACUGCAUCCAAAACAGGCGAGCUAGAGUAGGGCAGAGGGUGGUGGAAUUUCCUGUGUAGCGGUGAAAUGCGUAGAUAUAGGAAGGAACACCAGUGGCGAAGGCGACCGCCUGGGCUCAUACUGACACUGAGGUGCGAAAGCGUGGGGAGCAAACAGG
rnacentral:rRNA from 1 species